CCCGACGACAGGAGCCCACGUACACCUCCCAGGAGGCCCUGCGCUUCCCCGUGACAACCGGCCUGCGACGCGCCCGAAGCCCCGCAAGGCGGAAGCUUUUUUUUUUUUUUUUUUUUCUGUUUUUUUUGCACCGGUCCUGGAAGCACUGCAAUACCAGGUCAAUGCAUGGAGUGGAUGGAGCACGCUCCAGUUCCACCACCCAAUACCAAAAAGAAUCUGCUCAAUAUAGACCUCCUAUGGAGGACAUAUCAGAGACAAUUCCCCUGGGGAGCACGUCCCCCGCCCAUAGCAAGACUCUGGCCAAGUCCAGGCAGAUGUCAUGAAUUCUUGUUGGUCCAUCUAUCACAAUUCAUCUUCCUUUCUGCUGUCCCUCCUCCAACAGGGAGGGCAGAAUUAUCAUCUUCACUGCCACAGCUGCUGUCUCCUCUGCCACUGCUGCAGUUGCCAUUACCAUGGAUUUAGGUUCAGCCCUUACCUACCAUCCACCAGAAGGCCCCCACUCUCUAAGAAGUCCAUUGCUAGCUAACAGGUAUUUGUCCUGUUGAGCACUUGACUGCUGAAAAAGCUGCUGCUCAUAAGAAGCUGGAAGCACCUGGGAUUAUUUUGGCCACUGACAGCCAGGUCUAUUUUAGCCCAGGGGUGGCACAGGCAGCUAGUGUAACACAUGACAGAUCAGGGAUGGAAAAGGCAGAUAGGGCAGGAGACAGAAAUCAGAACAGCAUACUGGGGCAGGAAACAGAGCAGAAGAUCAGGCGGGGGAGGGGAUCAGAGUGACACUUGGAGAGGGUUCAGGGUUAAUUUGUGGCAUGCCUACCAAAAAGGCUGGUGUGCACUGUUUUAGCAGAUGCUGCUGAACAAAUGCUUAUGACCAUCAUGCUUAGCCCUAGAAAUAUUUCUGUGUUCACUGAAUCAGACACUAGAGGGACUCAUAAGUAUAAAAGUUACAGCUGAGCAAUGUGAGAGGCAAGAAUACCUGUGGAUAUCUUUUAUUAGACCAACUCCAUGGUUGGAAUAGACAUAGGUGUGACAAUCCUAGUACGGACAGUGGAGUAUUAAGUUGAAUACAAAUAAACAAAAGCUGUGGGGAACUGAGAUCCCUUGC
rnacentral:lncRNA from 1 species